rnacentral:rRNA from 1 species
GCCGAACUCUUCCUUCGUGCUUAACACAUGCAAGUCGAACGGAAAGGCCCUGCUUUUGUGGGGUGCUCGAGUGGCGAACGGGUGAGUAACACGUGAGUAACCUGCCCUUGACUUUGGGAUAACUUCAGGAAACUGGGGCUAAUACCGGAUAGGAGCUCCUGCUGCAUGGUGGGGGUUGGAAAGUUUCGGCGGUUGGGGAUGGACUCGCGGCUUAUCAGCUUGUUGGUGGGGUAGUGGCUUACCAAGGCUUUGACGGGUAGCCGGCCUGAGAGGGUGACCGGCCACAUUGGGACUGAGAUACGGCCCAGACUCCUACGGGAGGCAGCAGUGGGGAAUAUUGCACAAUGGGCGGAAGCCUGAUGCAGCAACGCCGCGUGCGGGAUGACGGCCUUCGGGUUGUAAACCGCUUUCGCCUGUGACGAAGCGUGAGUGACGGUAAUGGGUAGAGAAGCACCGGCUAACUACGUG